ensembl:lncRNA
CUCAAUCAAUGGACUAAUCUCUACGUUUCUGCUCAGGCGUGUGACAUCACCUGAAAUGUGCUGUGCUGCAGGUGUGGGCUCACCUGGGUUUUGGGGGUUUGGCUCCAGCACUUCAACCACCUUAGUCCACAAUCUGGGAACCGGUUCUGCUUCCUCACACCGUCACAUUUCGUUGUGAGCCCCCCGGCUGACGGUCUCCCGCCGUCUUUUCUGUUCGUUAGGAACCUUCUGCACCUUCAAGCGGAGAUGUCGAGUUCGUGAGAAGCAAAGGAUCAAAAAGAUGUGCGUGUCUGUGUGCUGCUUUUAGAUCCGUCUUCAUUCCUUCCCUGUCUUUCACCAUGUGGGGGGCUGGUUGGAGGUGACGCGGGAGGCCCACAUGCGGAGCGGCGUCGCAUCUCGGGCGCCGCUCCCGAGUUCCCUCCAAAGUUCACGGAACUCUUUCUUCUCUCUGACGAAUGUUCAGCGCCUUCGGAUCCGAUCGGCUUUCAUCACGGAGGAGGACGAGUGUAGUUGUGUGUGUCUGUCUGCGUGAAAUAUACGUGUGUGUGUGUAUAUUAAGAAUAUCUGUGCUGCAGCUUUUCGUCCCCCGCAGGUCACUUUUAUAUUUGUGUGAAUCUCUUCAAUGCGAAACAUACAAAGGAUUCUUCCUUUCACAGUCACAUGGCGAGCCCCACGUAGCGCUUAGCACGUAGCGCUUAGCACGUAGCGCUUAGCCCCUCUGGAUCUAUCAUUCUUUGGGCCGCUGGUUCUGUUAUUUUAAGCCUAGAUUUGUGUCCCUCGCAGAGAGUUUCACAGCGGAGGAUUAAGCUUCACCCCCGACUAAACUCAGUUUACCCCCCCAACAGAAAACCCAGACAGAAAUAUGCUUUUAUGUGCGUGAUGCUAAACCCCCCCCCCCCCCCUCUUCAUAAGUUUGACAACCACUAAUUAUCCAUCAGUUUUCCCUUUCUCAUUAUUUAAAGUUUUUAAAGUUUUUUUUUAAACAUUUAAACCCGUGUUAAAAGACACGUCUCCUCUUGCUGAAUGAUGCGAGUGCGAAUCCCGGUCGUUGCUCUUCUUUCGUUGGGACGUCUUCAUCUCGGGGGUCUUCUGGUCCGCGGCGGCGGCCUAUCGGCUCUGGGGGGGAUCAGCCCAUUUUCUCCGGUCUGGAGGAAUGUGUGAGAGCGGGUUCAGGGAGGAAGAACCGGAACCAAUGUCUGUGCCCUCCGCAUGUAUUUGUAUUGUUCCUUUGGCUCUGAGGGGGGGGGGGGGGGGCAAAUGUCUUACCAUCAGACACUGAUUAUUAUGUGAUUAAGGGACCCGGGGGGGCGAUGACUGCAGGAGGAACAUUAAAUUAAAAAGCAUUAUGGAGCAGAACUAAACACCAAAACACUGGGAAGUCCUGGUCCUCCCCCAGCGGGGCCGGGAGACGAGUGUGUGUGUGUGUGUGUGUGUGUGUGUGUGUGGGUGUCUCUGUCUGGAUCCGGUGAAAUACCGCGUGAGGCGUUCAGGCGCCAGCGUUGCCUUCAAGGUGUUGUUGCUUCAGGCAUCGCUGUGAAUUAAAGAAGAGAAAAGUUUUUGUUUUGUGCGUUUGUUUAUUCCCAAACUGCCACAACCUUCCCGUCUGCGUGGGUUUGAUUCUCUGUCCCGAGAGCUGGAGGAGGGGGGGGGGGAGAUAGAUGUGGAAUGAUACCCAAAACAUUCCCUCCCCCGUGUGGUCCUCCUCGUCCUGCUGAAAUCUUUCCCCCAUUCCGUCACCAUGAGCACACUAUCAGGCCCAAGGCCAGAGUUACAUAACCCGGGGGGGGUUUGUCUCCCCAUGUAACCCUCUCCCACGUGGAGAGAUGCUUUUUACCUUCUGGGUCAUAAUUAAAGGACUUUUAAUCCAAAAAAUGGCUCCAAAUUUCUCUUAAAAUCACCUUUGGUACCAAAAACAAAGGAAGCUCGUCAGCAGCACUAAAGUAAGAACAUUCAGAGCAUUGAGCCAUUUUGCAAAAAGACAUGUGACAUUUCUCGUCAUAAAUGAGGUGCAAAUACAAAAGAAACUUGAUUCCAACAACAUCAGUUUUUGAUAUUUGUCUGUUUUUUGUUGGAUGCAUCCACCUCGGACCAUCUGGGACCAUCUGGGUGCAUCUGGCCGUGGAGGGGCAGAACAAAUGUGGGAAGCCUGGGAACGCUGUGCAUCGCCCACAAUCCCUCCAAUGAGAACAGCUGUUGGCUCCUUACGAACAUCUCUGAUAUCAAACGCACGCCGUGUGAAUCAGCCUGCAAAGGAGAUCCCGGGUGGGAAGGACGACGUGAUGUUCUGUGGAUCAUCUCAAUAUAUAUAUAUAUAUAUAUAUAUAUAUAUAUAUAUAUAUAUUGAAGGAUACAUAUAUACACACAUUGGAAUGCCUCCCACAUAUUUACUCCUCACACAGCAGUAAUCGCUCUGAGGGGGAUUAGAACAUUAACACCACGUGUUUUUUGAAGCACCCUCGGACGCCCUCGCCCGUCGUCCUGUCGCCUAGAGGACGUCGCCCCCUGCAGGACACCAGAGGGCACCUCUAGGACGCUGUCCUUGAUUGUCAGAAAGGCUCCUCUCGCUAUUUCACGGUGAAAGUUCAUCUUCUGGAGGUUUAAACUCUCUGUGGCGUCUUUACUUCACUUGGUUCGCUACGCUAACGGCUACAGAGCGUUUAGAGCCGUGGUAGCUGACAACACCUGUGUGUGUGUGUGUGUGUGUGAGUCUGUGUGUGUGUGUGAGUCUGUGUGUGUGUGCGUGGUGGAUCACAGUGUAAUCUCAGUUAUUUUUUGUGCAUCGGGUGUAAUCUGUGUUCCUCUACGCAAUCGGCAGGAAUCAUAAAGGAGCAGUUAAUAAUUACCCAUAAUCCUCAGAAUAGAGUUUCUGUGUCAAUGGCGCCUUUUUUCUGCAUAUUUCCUCCUUUUCUUUCUCUCUGUGGCCACGAAUGUUUUUAUCCUCC